ensembl:lncRNA
UGGGGUUCAUUAACAGCACUGGCAGCGCUGAGCACAUUGUCAUCUUUUGUGGAAAAUACUUGCGGAAUGAAUGAACGCAUUUCUACCGGACUGCAACGUCCAGAAAAGCCGGGGGCGGUGGCUCUCCUACAUUGUAUUCUGUAGCAGGCAGAGGCUUUCUGCACGUGGAGUGUGGCUGUGACUGUGCAGUGGUCAGUGUGUGAGCUGUGGCAUAUGGAAGAGGACAGCGAACUUGGAAUCAGAAGGUGGGAGUCGCAGCUCUGCUUCUUGCCACAUGGAUGGGAUCAUCAUUUAUAAACACACGAGGGAACAAUCUGCCAUGAAGAAGAGUCAGCCAACACAGGAAAGAGGGGAAGUGGAAUAAAAGGGUAGACUUGUUGGUUAAGAACCCUGAAUUAAGUAUUUUUAAAAUGAUUAAAGAGAAAAUAUGCAAAAGAAAUUGUAAGACGAGGACCCUAUUUAAAGGAAAGAACAUACAGACUUAAAAAGAAGGAGGGAAACUUCUAGAAAUCAAAGUAUGUUUAUUGAAACGAUAAGUUCAGUGUGUUGGCUCUAAUCACUGUUAAAACAUUUAAUACUAUUUGGUAACAUUGAAGAUGUUCAAGUCUCUUCAAGAAGUUAAUCAGGAGUUCCC